UAUCUCUGUAGAGUCUGCAUAUCAAUAAGCGGAGGAAAAGAAACUAACAAGGAUUCCCCUAGUAACGGCGAGUGAAGCGGGAAGAGCUCAAAUCUGAAAUCUUCAAGGUUUGACCUUGACGAAUUGUAGUUUAAAGAAGUGUUUUCGGUUAGAGGAGUAGUAAAAGUUCUUUGGAAUAGGACAUCAUAGAGGGUGAGAAUCCCGUAUUUGACUAUUCUUUCUAGCUUUGUGAUACACUUUCAAAGAGUCGGAUUGUUUGGGAAUGCAGUCCAAAAUGGGUGGUAAAUUUCAUCUAAAGCUAAAUAUUGGCGAGAGACCGAUAGCGAACAAGUACCGUGAGGGAAAGAUGAAAAGAACUUUGAAAAGAGAGUUAAACAGUACGUGAAAUUGUCAAAAGGGAAGCGUUUGACACCAGUGUUGUUUUUCCGAAAAUCAAUUAAAAAUUGAUUCAUGCCAGGUUGUAUUGACCUUAUCAGCUUGCAAUUUGGUUUUGGGUCUCUUUUUGAUGCACUUUUCGGUUAACAAGUCAACAUCAAUUUCCUUUGCUGUAAAAAGGUAAGAGGAAGGUGGCUUCAAUUUCGGUUGAAGUGUUUAUAGCCUUUUAUCUCUGCAGUCGGGGAGAUUGAGGUCUGCAGCGUAGAUCCUUCGGGGCUAGAUACAUUUAUGCUAAGUUAUAGCUUUUCAUAGACAACUUGUUGACUAUGUUUAGUCAUGUAGCUUACUCGUAAGUGCUAUUUUACCUACGCUUAGGAUGUUGAAGACUCUACAGAGAU
rnacentral:rRNA from 1 species